UGUAUUUAGCCCAACACUCGGUGUACCAUGUGCUUUGAUAUCUGGGGGUUCCGUGACUGGGGCAACUGGGGUUUCUUGUGGAAAGACCUUCGGCAUUUUCCUAUUGAAACCAGACGUGGCUGUCGAGAUUCAGUCGAUUCGUUCUUUAGCGGUGAUUAACCGUCUGUUCGUCAUGACUGCUGGAUUGACGGUCAUCCUCCCGAGGCAAAGCAGCCCGCGGUGGACGUGCCGAGGUUCUGCGGGAAAGAACAAGGAUGACCGGGAGACCAACACUUUCUGCAGGAGCCACAAGGCAGGCCAUGGUUUCAUCGAACAGCCGGGAGAUGAGCGGGAUGCUGAAGGAUAGCGGCGCUCACUUCAGUGAGCCCAGCUUGAACCCCGCCAUUGGCGUCCUGGGCACCACUCUGAAUAAGCUGCUUCAGUUGUGACUUGUAGCACAAAGUUUCUGUCACCCAGUUCAUCGUCAUCUCUGAACCAAAGGGAUUGGUCCUGCCUGCUAGUCACCACUUGAAUAAAAGUUGGAAUGGU
rnacentral:lncRNA from 1 species